rnacentral:rRNA from 1 species
AGUGAACGCUGGCGGUAGGCCUAACACAUGCAAGUCGAACGGCAGCACAGGAGAGCUUGCUCUCUGGGUGGCGAGUGGCGGACGGGUGAGGAAUACAUCGGAAUCUACUCUGUCGUGGGGGAUAACGUAGGGAAACUUACGCUAAUACCGCAUACGACCUACGGGUGAAAGUAGGGGAUCUUCGGACCUUGCGCGAUUGAAUGAGCCGAUGUCGGAUUAGCUAGUUGGCGGGGUAAGGGCCCACCAAGGCGACGAUCCGUAGCUGGUCUGAGAGGAUGAUCAGCCACACUGGAACUGAGACACGGUCCAGACUCCUACGGGAGGCAGCAGUGGGGAAUAUUGGACAAUGGGCGCAAGCCUGAUCCAGCCAUACCGCGUGGGUGAAGAAGGCCUUCGGGUUGUAAAGCCCUUUUGUUGGGAAAGAAAUCCAGCUGGCUAAUACCCGGUUGGGAUGACGGUACCCAAAGAAUAAGCACCGGCUAACCUCGUGCCAGCAGCCGCCGUAA